UCCGCAGGGGUUUGCCGAGUCUGAUGUGAAAUCUCACGGCUCAACUGUGAAACUGCAUUGGAUACUGGCGAACUAGAGUCUGCGAGGGGUGAGCGGAAUUCCAGGUGUAGCGGUGGAAUGCGUAGAUAUCUGGAAGAACACCGAUGGCGAAGGCGGCUCACUGGCGCAGUACUGACCCUCAGGGACGAAAGCGUGGGUAGCAAACA
rnacentral:rRNA from 1 species